CUGACUUCCUUAACUUAGCUCUUUGUCUGCAAUGUCAUCUCAUCUUCUAUAAAUGAAGCUGUAUCAAAGCUUCCCAUGUAGAAAAUAGCCAACAUUCAAAUUCCUUUGCUAAGGCCAAGUGGAAAUGUUGCAUUGGCUUAUAAUAUUAAUUUGAGUGACUGGGGAUGAGACUCAACAUGCAGUUGUCUUUAUCUGUCAAAUGGGCACAGUGCCAUGAAGGAACCCAUGUCCUCUGGAUCCCUCUUUCUGAACUUCUUCCUGUGGGGAAGCCCAUUAGUAGAACUGGUUGGAAGUCUGGGGAGUAUCUCAUUGUGUUUUGAACUGGAGAGAGUUCCAGUGAGUGCUGAGAGACGUGUUUCCAACGGACUACUGAUGCCAAGAGUUGUGAUCAUUAUUUUCUCGGGACAGAUGGUCAAUGCACAGCCAUGCCUGCAGGUGUUCUCUGAGUCACACUGGAUUCUGGGGCUUCUCUCAAUAAAGAAGGCCUCUCAUUGAAACAUCUGCCUGGUGUCAUAGCAAUAAUGGAUCCUAGGUCUAUGUUACUGUAACCACCACCCACAACAACCCACUUCCAGGCUACCCAUUAUCUCAUAGGGCAAUCAUUAUGGCAAAAGUAAAAGAAUGUAUAAAAAUCAUUUAUUCUCUCUCUUCCACUUUCUUAAUGUCUUCUUGAGUAGGAAGGCUCAGGAGCUUCACUUGAGAGCUAGAUGUAACUUCUGUCUAGAAGUCUCUUCAACCCAAGACAAUGAACAGAAACCUAAAUUGUGAGAUGACUCCAAGUGACUUAAGGAUCUAAGGGGAAAAAAAGGAAAGUGAGUUUCUUUUGGUUUCUUUCGGUCCACACCAGCAGAAAGAAUUAAUCAAGGAUGACAGAUGGAUUUGGCAGGAAGAAGCCCUUUGCUUUGCAUCUCUAGAGCCCAAUAACUGAGAGCUGUACAAAUGAAUAACAGAGCUGAGAACCCACCUGUACCAGAUACUUUAAGUACCAGAUACUUAUAUGUUCCCA
rnacentral:lncRNA from 1 species